rnacentral:misc_RNA from 1 species
GAUGAAGAACGCAGCGAAAUGCGAUAAGUAGUGUGAAUUGCAGAAUUCAGUGAAUCAUCGAAUCUUUGAACGCACAUUGCGCCCUUUGGUAUUCCAUUGGGCAUGCCUGUUCGAGCGUCAUUUCAACUCUCAAGCUCUGCUUGGUGUUGGGUGUUUGUUCUGCUUUUAUGUUAGAACUCACCUUAAAAUUAUUGGCAGCCGGCACUAUGACUCCUAUACGCAGCAGAUUGCGCGAUUAGAAGUAGGCAGCUUGGUGUUCCAAAAAGACAUUCUCAGUUUGACCUCGGAUCAGGUAGGGAUACCCGCUGAACUUAAGCAUAUCAAUAAGCGGAGGA